GGAAGGGGGGCGUGGAGGGAACCGGGAUCAGCCAGGGGCCAGCAUGAGCCUGAGGGAGGGAAGUCUGGAAGACCCCCAGGCUGACACCUCAGUCUCAUUCCUUCCCCACUUGGAGGCCAAGAUCCGUCAGACACACAGCCUUGCCCACCUCCUCACCAAAUAUGCUGAGCAGCUGCUCCAGGAAUAUGUGAGUGAGAAUGGGGGUUGGGGUGUCAAGGGUCUGGGGAUUGGGGAAGCACAGGUCACAGAGGUCCUCCA
rnacentral:lncRNA from 1 species